CUGAUAACCGAAGCUGCGGAUGGGCGCGUAAGCGUCCGUGGUAGGGGAGCGUUCUGUAGGUCUGUGAAGGUGUCUCGUAAGGGAUGCUGGAGAUAUCAGAAGUGCGAAUGCUGACAUGAGUAGCGAUAAAGCGGGUGAAAAGCCCGCUCGCCGAAAGCCCAAGGUUUCCUACGCAACGUUCAUCGGCGUAGGGUGAGUCGGCCCCUAAGGCGAGGCUGAAAAGCGUAGUCGAUGGGAAACGGGUUAAAAUUCCCGUACUUUUAUGCAGUGCGAUGUGGGGACGGAGAAGGUUAGGUCAGCGGCCUGUUGGAAUAGGUCGUUCAAGCUGGUAGGUGGUUAGAGUAGGCAAAUCCGCUCUUUCAUUCAACACCGAGAAGUGAUAACGAGGGUCUACGGACCUGAAGUGACUGAUACCACGCUUCCAGGAAAAGCCACUAAGCUUCAGCUGCAUAAGAACCGUACCGCAAACCGACACAGGUGGGCAGGAUGAGAAUUCUAAGGCGCUUGAGAGAACUCAGGAGAAGGAACUCGGCAAAUUGAUA
rnacentral:rRNA from 1 species